GGAACCUGCAGCACGAGCGAGUUUAUCGCGUAUUACAGCAGGUCAAUUCGGCAGCACAGAUUAGCCAAGCAUUGUUGUGUGCCGAGAACACAACACACAUUGCCUACGCCAGGUUUCCGUAAUGAACGCCGUUCGGUCAAAAACACGAGGAUGCCGUCGAUAUGAUAACCAUGAGUUCGGACGAUUAUAAUUGUAUAAGACCAAACGUGUUCUCACUGAAUGCAGAAUAUAUGACGAGGAGAGGAGACGAUUUCAACUAUCUAAUCAUCUAGCUGAGAUAAUAUUCAACCCUGAACCCAACAACGUUUCCAAGCUCCUAUCUGCAGAAACUCUCCUCCAUUAAAUCAUGGGCGGAUCCAGGCCAAGAUAACAGGGGGGGGGGCGAUUUUUAAAGGGCACACGUUAAUUUUGAUAAAAUAUUUAUUUAGAUAUACAAUAUAUGGCAAUUUCCACAGUCUCGUACAGAACAAAAAAAAAAUAUUUUUUACAGUAAUAGUAAUAAAAAAAUAUAUCACUAUAAUUUUGUUACCCUCUAAGUAUAAUUACGUCAAAAACUAAAAUCAGGCACUUCAAAUUUUUUUUUUUUAGAUAACGGGGGGCGAUCGCCCCGAUCGCCCCCCCCCCCUGGAUCCGCCACUGCCAUUAAUACACUCUAAAUUUCACCUAAUACUUAGUUUUAUAUAUUAUGUACUUAACUUAAGAAUGUAUUUUUAUUUUAUUAAUAUUAUUAUUAUUUGUUUAAUAAAAAAAAUAAAAAUGUAUUAUAACAUCAUUGUAAUAAUAUAUGGUAAUAUUAAAAUAUUUAACCCACA